AGAUGACUCGAACUAGACAGAGGCAGCCCCCUAUGGGAGGGUACGGAUGGCUUGCACCUGUACACAGUGGGAAAAACAAGUCUUUGAGGAUCUGAGCCAGAAGUUUUUCAUGCUGUUCCUUGACUCCAAAUCCAAGAUUGUUCUCUUCGAUGUGGUUGCCAGCAUACUGAUAGAAAAAAGCCUGGAUACACCAGAUCAAUACAUUUAAAAAAAAUACAGAGAAGUUGACCAAGGCCAUGACAUACACACAAGGCCAAACUAGACAAAGAAAUCACCAUUCCUAAUAACAAUGUGGGGAGUGAGGUGAGUGGUAUACACCCAAGAACAAGACAUGACAGGCUAUAAAGCUUACAAGGCCAUUUUCAAGUUAUUUGAUUUCUUCUGCAUUUGAAUUGAAUUUGAAAAAAGUCAGACACCUGGAGUUGUAAAAUGUCAGAAGAGGAACCAAACAUCCAAGCUAGGAUUAUUGGAGGCAAGUUCAUUUUCACUGGACUGAGAAAAUUAUACUUGGAACACCCUCAAAACACUUUGACAAAUAAAGUAGUAUAAUAAACAUAGUAACA
rnacentral:lncRNA from 1 species